rnacentral:rRNA from 1 species
CGGAUCGGAGUCUGCAACCCGACUCCGUGAAGCUGGAUUCGCUAGGGUAAUCGCGCAUCAGCCAUGGCGCGGUGAAUACGUUCCCGGGCCUUGUACACACCGCCCGUCAAGCCAUGGGAGCCGGGGGUGCUUGAAGUGCGUCGCCGCAAGGCGCGCCCUAGAGCAAAACCGGUGACUGGGGCUAAGUCGUAACAAGGUACC